rnacentral:misc_RNA from 1 species
AGAACAGCUAUCGAAGUAAAAGUGAACAGUUAUAACAAGAACUCACUCCUUCAUUUUGAAGGAACUGUGUAUUUAGGAUUAAACAACCGAAGACAUUAAAAUUGUGUAUUCAAUGUUUUAACUGGAAAUAUGGUGCCUCAAAAUAACACAGUCUUUGGAUCGCAGAGCAUAGACCCUAACACUCACACGCCGUAUACGGAUGCCACUCAGUGCAAAAAGCAGUCAAACCAUGUCAAACGGCCUAUGAAUGCGUUCAUGGUGUGGUCACAGCUUGAACGGCGAAAGAUCUCCGAAGUUUCACCCGAUAUGCACAAUGCUGAGAUCAGUAAACGAUUGGGUAAACGCUGGAAAACGUUAAACGAAACUGAUCGACAGCCCUUUAUCGAGGAGGCAGAGCGUCUGAGACUAUUGCACAUGCAGGAAUACCCUGAUUACAAAUACCGUCCCCGCAAGAAGGCCAAACCUGUGACAAAAUCAGAAUCCAAAGUGUCAAAACCGACCAGUAAAACUCGCACCGACCGUAUGAAGCAGAAGGCUGCCGUCAGAAAUUUACGAUACUCCGGCCGCCUCGCCCGAAGACAUCAAGUGUCGCCCCAGCAAUAUCUCAUCUCAGGGUAACCCGACUCAGCAGGGAGACGGUUCGUCGUUGGCGGAUCUCGAUAAUCUCACCGACGUGCUUCAAAUGCCCAACAACUGGCAGAUAGAGUUAGGGAACUUGGACUUGAGUAAACUCGCCGACACAUGUGAUUUCCCUAACUUCGACCUGCAUAAUAACAAUUCGAAUGUGUCAAGUGCUUGCUCCACAUCCAGUAAUGGAUCGCAUUUUGAAUUCCCGGAUUAUUCCACGCCUGAAGUUUCCGAAAUGAUUGGACUGGAAUCCGAAUGGUUAGACAUUUCCGUUCUUGGCUCAAUUGCUGCUCAUUGAACGUCUUCGUCAUCCUUCAUUUCAUCGUUUCUUUCGUAUGUGUGUGUUCUUGUUAUGACUGAUUGUUGAUAAUUCUGAAGGGACAUGUGCAAAUAAUACGUUAUAAUCCAAACGAACGUUUCGGGAGGACCUUUCUGUCGGUAUUGCGGACCACGUGGAAAGUCAGGACCCGGGGUGCGGAUCGUAGAUCUAGCGCACCGAGGCAGAGACUGGUAUAGUUGUGAUGUAUCAUUAUAUUUAUGAGAGAUUUAUAUCUAUAUUAUAUAUAAAUUGUGAGAACGAACUGAUCCAUAUCAAGUAUAUAUUUGUGCUGUGUGUAAUAUUCUCAGUAUUGUAACGUAGAAGUGACUGUCUCCAUAUAUAUUUAGUAGCUGUGGGUGAAACAUCUUUCAUUCUUCCAUUUUUCUCAUCACUGUAUAAUCAUAUUUUGUGUCUUAUUCCAUAAAAAUGAUCUGCAGGGAUAUUUUUUCAUACAAAGAAAUGUAGAUAUUUUUUACUAUAUUCUUUAUGAAAAAGCUACAUGAGAAAGGUCACAGACAAACUUGAUAUUUUGCAAUGAACCAUGAUCGAUUUUUUAUACAAAGGCAUAAAACCUUUCUUACUGAUAUCGUUCUGCAAUGAUGUAAAACUCUGUAUGUACUUUUGUUACAAGGUUUGUAAACAAACUCGACGGGAAUCUGUUCAAUAUUGUGCUAUGAUAAUUUUUUGUUGUUAGAAAAAUAUUCCCCCAUCUUGAAAUUUUGAGUAUAUAUAUAUUUUGAUACAUACCCAUUAAUCCAACGAACAAUUUUUUGUCAGGCGAAAUCGGGAGAAGCCAAAUGUACAUAUGACUUUUUAUUAUUAUUAUAUUAUACAUGGCAUGUGCAAAUGAUAUUUGUACUAUCGUUAUCUUACGUUGUAGUAAAAUACAACAAAAAUUCUACAAAAC